rnacentral:rRNA from 1 species
GAUCCCAGCUUGCUGGGGGAUUAGUGGCGAACGGGUGAGUAACACGUGAGUAACCUGCCCUUGACUCUGGGAUAAGCCUGGGAAACUGGGUCUAAUACCGGAUACGACCAUCUGGCGCAUGUCAUGGUGGUGGAAAGCUUUUGUGGUUUUGGAUGGACUCGCGGCCUAUCAGCUUGUUGGUGGGGUAAUGGCCUACCAAGGCGACGACGGGUAGCCGGCCUGAGAGGGUGACCGGCCACACUGGGACUGAGACACGGCCCAGACUCCUACGGGAGGCAGCAGUGGGGAAUAUUGCACAAUGGGCGCAAGCCUGAUGCAGCGACGCCGCGUGAGGGAUGACGGCCUUCGGGUUGUAAACCUCUUUCAGUAGGGAAGAAGCCGUAAGGUGACGGUACCUGCAGAAGAAGCGCCGGCUAACUACGUGCCAGCAGCCGCGGUAAUACGUAGGGCGCAAGCGUUAUCCGGAAUUAUUGGGCGUAAAGAGCUCGUAGGCGGUUUGUCGCGUCUGCUGUGAAAGACCGGGGCUCAACUCCGGUUCUGCAGUGGGUACGGGCAGACUAGAGUGCAGUAGGGGAGACUGGAAUUCCUGGUGUAGCGGUGAAAUGCGCAGAUAUCAGGAGGAACACCGAUGGCGAAGGCAGGUCUCUGGGCUGUAACUGACGCUGAGGAGCGAAAGCAUGGGGAGCGAACAGGAUUAGAUACCCUGGUAGUCCAUGCCGUAAACGUUGGGCACUAGGUGUGGGGGACAU